GAUGAACGCUGGCGGCGUGCUUAACACAUGCAAGUCGAACGGUGAACACGGAGCUUGCUCUGUGGGAUCAGUGGCGAACGGGUGAGUAACACGUGAGCAACCUGCCCCUGACUCUGGGAUAAGCGCUGGAAACGGCGUCUAAUACUGGAUAUGUGACGUGACCGCAUGGUCUGCGUUUGGAAAGAUUUUUCGGUUGGGGAUGGGCUCGCGGCCUAUCAGCUUGUUGGUGAGGUAAUGGCUCACCAAGGCGUCGACGGGUAGCCGGCCUGAGAGGGUGACCGGCCACACUGGGACUGAGAGACGGCCCAGACUCCAACGGGAGGCAGCAGGGGGGAAUAUUGCACAGUGGGCGCAAGCCUGAUGCAGCAACGCCGCGUGAGGAAUGACGGCCUUCGGGUUGUAAACCUCUUUUGGCAGGGAAGAAGCGAAAGUGACGGUACCUGAAGAAAAAGCGCCGGCUAACUACGUG
rnacentral:rRNA from 1 species